rnacentral:rRNA from 1 species
UACGUAGGGUGCAAGCGUUAAUCGGAAUUACUGGGCGUAAAGCGUGCGCAGGCGGUUAUGCAAGACAGAUGUGAAAUCCCCGGGCUUAACCUGGGAACCGCAUUUGUGACUGCAUAGCUGGAGUACGGCAGAGGGGGAUGGAAUUCCGCGUGUAGCAGUGAAAUGCGUAGAUAUGCGGAGGAACACCGAUGGCGAAGGCAGUCCCCUGGGCCUGUACUGACGCUCAUGCACGAAAGCGUGGGAGCAAACAGG